GAUGAACGCUAGCUACAGGCUUAACACAUGCAAGUCGAGGGACCGGCGCACGGGUGAGUAACACGUAUCCAACCUUCCCUUUACUCGGGGAUAGCCUUUAGAAGGAAAGAUUACUACCCAAUAUAAAGGAUGGGGAUGCGUUCCAUUAGGUUGUUGGUGAGGUAACGGCUCACCAAGCCUUCGGUGGAUAGGGGUUCUGAGAGGAAGGUCCCCCACAUUGGAACUGAGACACAGUCCAAAAUGCUACGGAAGGGAGCAGUGAGUAAUAUGGGUCGAUGGGCGCUAGCCUGAACAAGCCAAGUAGCGUGAAGGAUGAAGGCUUAUGGGUCGUAAACUUCUUUUAUAUAAGAAUAUGUAUUAUAUGAAUAAGGAUCGGCUAACUCCGUGCCAGCAGCCGCGGUAAUAC
rnacentral:rRNA from 1 species